rnacentral:rRNA from 1 species
GACGAACGCUGGCGGCGUGCCUAAUACAUGCAAGUCGAGCGAAUCUUUAGAAGCUUGCUUCUGAAGAUUAGCGGCGGACGGGUGAGUAACACGUGGGCAACCUGCCUGUAAGACUGGGAUAACUUCGGGAAACCGGAGCUAAUACCGGAUAAUCCUUUUCCUCACAUGAGGAAAAGCUGAAAGACGGCAUUACGCUGUCACUUACAGAUGGGCCCGCGGCGCAUUAGCUAGUUGGUGAGGUAACGGCUCACCAAGGCGACGAUGCGUAGCCGACCGGAGAGGGGGAUCGGCCACACUGGGACUGAGACACGGCCCAGACUCCUACGGGAGGCAGCAGUAGGGAAUCUUCCGCAAUGGACGAAAGUCUGACGGAGCAACGCCGCGUGAGCGAAGAAGGCCUUCGGGUCGUAAAGCUCUGUUGUUAGGGAAGAACAAGUAUCGGAGUAACUGCCGGUACCUUGACGGUACCUAACCAGAAAGCCACGGCUAACUACGUGCCAGCAGCCGCAGUAAGAC